rnacentral:rRNA from 1 species
UGGGGAAUAUUGGACAAUGGGCGCAAGCCUGAUCCAGCCAUGCCGCGUGAGUGAUGAAGGCCCUAGGGUUGUAAAGCUCUUUCACCGGUGAAGAUAAUGACGGUAACCGGAGAAGAAGCCCCGGCUAACUUCGUGCCAGCAGCCGCGGUAAUACGAAGGGGGCUAGCGUUGUUCGGAUUUACUGGGCGUAAAGCGCACGUAGGCGGACUUUUAAGUCAGGGGUGAAAUCCCGGGGCUCAACCCCGGAACUGCCUUUGAUACUGGAAGUCUUGAGUAUGGUAGAGGUGAGUGGAAUUCCGAGUGUAGAGGUGAAAUUCGUAGAUAUUCGGAGGAACACCAGUGGCGAAGGCGGCUCACUGGACCAUUACUGACGCUGAGGUGCGAAAGCGUGGGGUGCAAACAGG